CUCUGCAAACCUUGGCCAGCUUGGAGCAGGCACCUUUAAAAGCUUCUGUGGCAACCAGCUCCUCCUCCCUGGUCCCCUGAGGCCAUCCCAAGGAAGCUGACUUAGAGGCUCUGCGUUUUCCUGGUUUCUCAGCAAAAGGAAGAUUCCAGGGAGAGCCCAGGGGGGCCAGGGAUGGAUCUGGGAUCAGGCAGCAGCCAGGGUGGGGACUCGGAGACCACCUUCCAGCUGUGGCUGCAGCUGCUUCUCUGGGCCCACCUGGCUGUACGUUUCCUGGGCUACCUGCACCACACCUUCUGGGGGCCUAAGCCACAGCCAGCACCCUGAGCCUCCCUGGCCAGUGGGCAGAAGGCCCCCAGAUCACCCCAUCCCCCCCCACCCUUUAUUCUACCCUUUGCUGGAAGAGACAGGAAGCAGAGUGAAAGAAUUCUUAGCCAAAGCCAAAGAAGAUUUUCUUAAAAAAUGGGAAAGUCCCGCUCAGAACACAGCCCACUUGGAUCAGUUUGAACGAAUCAAGACCCUCGGCACGGGCUCCUUCGGGCGGGUGAUGCUGGUGAAACACAAGGAGACCGGGAACCACUAUGCCAUGAAGAUCCUCGACAAACAGAAGGUGGUGAAACUGAAACAGAUAGAACACACCCUGAAUGAAAAGCGCAUCCUGCAAGCCGUCAACUUUCCGUUCCUCGUCAAACUCGAGUUCUCCUUCAAGGACAACUCAAACUUAUACAUGGUCAUGGAGUACGUGCCCGGCGGGGAGAUGUUCUCACACCUACGGCGGAUCGGAAGGUUCAGCGAGCCCCAUGCCCGUUUCUACGCGGCCCAGAUCGUCCUGACCUUUGAGUAUCUGCACUCGCUGGAUCUCAUCUACAGAGACCUGAAACCGGAGAAUCUGCUGAUUGACCAGCAGGGCUACAUUCAGGUGACAGACUUCGGUUUCGCCAAGCGCGUGAAGGGCCGCACUUGGACCUUGUGUGGCACCCCUGAGUACCUGGCCCCUGAGAUUAUCCUGAGCAAAGGCUACAACAAGGCCGUGGACUGGUGGGCCCUGGGGGUUCUUAUCUAUGAAAUGGCCGCUGGCUACCCGCCCUUCUUCGCAGACCAGCCCAUCCAGAUCUAUGAGAAGAUCGUCUCUGGGAAGGUGAGGUCCGGAUGUGGGGACACAGCCCUGGAAGAAAGAGACCCUUCCCUGCUCACCCAUCCUACUCCCUGGGGAGCCCUGCUUGUUGUCAGAAUAAUCUAGAAGUUCCUUAAGUUAGGCCAGGUGGUGAAGCUGGACGCACCAGCCACACUGAGGCCAACACCUCAAGCCCCCUCGCUGUCCAGCCCCAACCCCGCGGUUCCAGAAUCCCACGGGCUUCCAAAAUCCCGAGCCUCACGGGAACUUCUUGGCCACAGAACACAAACCGUCCUGCCAGACGACCCUCCUUGUCGCUCCUCGUCCCAGUUAGUGUGAGUUUUCGCAAAUUCCAAGGCAGGAAAAUGAAUGUAUUUGGUUCCUGUUCCCAGGUGCUGUCCACAGCCUCACCCA
rnacentral:sRNA from 1 species